AUGUGAAGCCUCCACUUUGGUGCUUAACAUUCCAACGGAUGGGGCAUGUUGCUAAUGUGUGCAAAGGUAAAAUGAGCUGUGCAACGUGCGGUGGGGAUCACGAGUAUGGGAAAUGAUCAGAGAUGGAAACUCGAGUCGCGAUUAAGAAAAGAAAAUGACUUGCGACUUGAUUUAGACUUGUGAUCAAUUGACUUGUGACCUGACUUGGACUCUAGAUGAAAGACUUCUGAACAAUGCAAGUCAGUACUGGGAUACGUUUUAGUUGUGCAUUCUGUCAGAUAACAUGGAACAGGCGGCGUUGUAACACGGAGAAAGUAGUUUAAUACAGAGGGUUGAAAAGCGUUCUAGAACAUCUGCGUCAUUUGUACGUGACUGUAGUACUACGGCUGAACAAUCGUAAUCAGGAACGAUGUCAUCAGGUGGUGAAGCUUUUGUUAUUACAUUUGGUUACAAGAACCUGCAGUAUAAUGCCAGUGCCAAAAAAAUGAAAUGCUGUUUGCAAAACUUGUGGAAUUAACAUUAAAGAUGCUGGCGCAACUACAGUACAUCUAACUUCAUCCGACAUGUGAAAACUCACCGCGAAAGGUUCACUGAAUUCUGCAAAGCAAAGGUGACCAGCACAGGGACAGAAGGACAGAGCAGCGUGUAGAGCCAGGGCCACCCCAGACAGAAGGCUAUAACAGAGGCUAUACUGCAAGACCUGAUCAUUUCCUGCAACCUGCCUAUGUCCUUAGUGGACAACCCUCACUUUAGGCAUUUCAUGUCAGUGGUAGGUGACAAAUAUUGACCAGUAAGUAGGCCCACGUUGACCAGGUGCCUGCAUGACUUAACACUGAACAAAAAGGCUACAAUCAAAAGUGCCCUAGAACAGACAGAAUCAGUGUCUGUCACUGUAGAUAUAUGGACUGACAGGACCAUGAGGGGCUUCAUGGGAGUAAUGGCUCAUUACAUGGCCAUGGAAGAGGGGAAAAAAACACCCAGACUGGAGUCAGUUCUGUUGAGCUGUGAUAGAUUCACAUGGUCACACACUGGGGAAAGAACAUUUGACAUUUAAUAUGUGAUAACUCUGAAAAAAUGAAAAAGGCCUUCAUAGUUUGUUUCCCCAAAGCAAUCAAUGAUGAUGAUGUGGAUAACCCCAGCAUAUGGGAAGAAUUUGGUGAAGAUUACAAUGUUGAUGUAGAAGCUAUCCAAACCAACUGCAGGUAACAGCACUUACAGUGCUUUGCCCAUUCAUUACAACUGGUGAUUAGAGAUGGACUAAAGGAAACAAAAAUCAUAAACAGUGUGAUGUUUAAGGUAAAUCAACUUUUGUUUACUUUUUGUGUUUAGUCAUGGAGGCCUCAUCAUGCGCCCUCAUCGUGCCAGACUCACUGCAAGAACGCUGACAAACUUGAUCUUUCUGAAAUGUAACCUGUCUGCAACAUAAAUAUUCUCUCUCUUAGGGCACAGGAUGUAAUUAGCUACUUGUUACAGGAAAUGGUAUUUAUGUUAAGUGUUCAGGUUAGUAAGUAUAUUUUAGGGAUAAAGGUCAUUAUGUUUGAUAUAUAGGACACUUUAGUAGUGCAGUUAUUGAACAGUUGUCAGUCAUUUUGGUUUACAUUCAUGCUUGUCAUUUAUCUUCCCUCACCUACAGAUUCUGUUUGUGUGACACAAAAUACCAUGCACUUUAAAAUGUUAUGUUUGCUUUUUUAAAUAUUCGGUACAAUUACUUUUAUUAAAUGUAAACUGUCUACAUUUUAAAAGGAAAUGUAUUUGGAUUGAAA